UAUCCUGGCUCAGAUUGAACGCUGGCGGCAUGCUUUACACAUGCAAGUCGAACGGCAGCGGGGAGGAGCUUGCUUCUCUGCCGGCGAGUGGCGAACGGGUGAGUAAUACAUCGGAACGUGUCGAGAAGAGGGGGAUAACCACCCGAAAGGGUGGCUAAUACCGCAUAAAUUCUGAGGAAGAAAGCUGGGGACCUGGGAAUAGGCCUAGCGCUUUUUGAGCGGCCGAUGUCGGAUUAGCUAGUUGGUGAGGUAAAGGCUCACCAAGGCGAAGAUCUGUAGCGGGUCUGAGAGGAUGAUCCGCCACACUGGGACUGAGACACGGCCCAGACUCCUACGGGAGGCAGCAGUGGGGAAUUUUGGACAAUGGGGGCAACCCUGAUCCAGCCAUGCCGCGUGUAUGAAGAAGGCCUUAGGGUUGUAAAGUACUUUUGUUAGGGAAGAAAAGUCAGCUGUGAAUAAUGGCUGAUACUGACGGUACCUAAAGAAUAAGCACCGGCUAACUACGUG
rnacentral:rRNA from 1 species